GCACAGUGCGAAUCCGUGAAUGAAUGUUCCGAUGUGAGAUAAACUUCAACAGAUUUCCCCUGCUCAGGGAGGGAGCAGUGAACACUGUAGAGACCAUGUCAAUGGGAACACAGUUCAUACAGGGAGCUCGAUUCUAACGAGCUCAUUAUCUGAAUCAGGUGUGUUAACAGAGAGACAUUCAAAAUAUGCAGAGCUGGGGGGCACAAGGACUGGGAUUGAGAACCACUGGUGUAGAGCAUUUACACUGCAGGAAACUGACAAGCAACACUACAGUCCGCCAACAAACAUAUGAGGAAGAGGAUGGCGGUCCAGCAUAUACAAAGAGAAAGAUGCAGACUGUACAUGUAGAGAUGCUCAUCUCUGCCUAAACACGUGACUACAACACAAACACAGCAUCACAGUUCAUCACUUUACUUUAAUUGCUUCUUCACUCAGGAUGUAGAGACACAGGAGUAACUGAUUAUUUCUCUUAACAUGCUACAAAUUUCUUUCAAUAUUUCUAUGUUUUGUAGUAAUCAAGAGAAGUGUCAUCGCUGAAUGAAUGGCAGACAUUACUCCUGAGACACCUGUGAACACAGAGCAGUGCUUUGAGUCCAAGACAGUGUACAUCAUCUUUAUUAUACAUCUGACUGAACUAGCAAGAAACGUUAGAGCCAAUGAGAAAAACUCAAAAGAAGAUACUCUGAAGAAUGCUGGUAAUCAAAACCAACAAGUUUGUCAGGUACAGAAAUGAAAGCUCCCAAACAAAGAUGUCACUGGAUUAAGAAGUAGAAAGACAUGUUACACCACAACAACCAUAAAUCCUGAGCGAUUUGAAAAUGGGCAACAACCAAGAAAAAGUACUCAUUGUUUCACUCAAAAAAUUAUUCAUGGUAAUAGUUG